rnacentral:lncRNA from 1 species
CUCACUCCAGUCACCAUUGGCCAGGGAUUCCGAUUCCAGCUCCCAUCAUCUGAGUUUAAUCAUUUCUUUCCUUUUUUUUUCCUUGUUUUUUCAUCUCUUCUUUUUCAUUUGUUCUUUUUCCCUUCACAUUCUCAUCAUCUCUUCUCUAUUUUUCAUUCCCCCCUCCCCCUUCUCCGUUUUAUUUUUAUUCAAUUUUUGUCACCAUCUAUACUGUUUUUCUUGAUUUUUUCUUCUUUUUCUUUUAUUCAAUUUUUUCACCAUCUUGUUUUUUCCUCCUUUUCUUGUUUUCUUCUGUUCUUUUAAUUCAGUUUUUUUUAUCAUUUUUUCCCUUUUUCUGUUUUUCUCGUUUUCUUGAUUCUUUUUUCUUCUCUUUCUCACUUCUAGGACAUUUUUAGGUUAUAUUUAUCUUUUUUUUAGAGCUGUUAUGAGAUUUCCAUGUGUAUUAUUUCAUGGAAUAUAUUUUUAAUUUUUUUAUAUUUGUUUUAUUAGUUUAUAUUAUUUAUUAUUCUUUUGAAUUUUUCUACAUGUUAUAUAUUCUUUUUAAUUCAUAUUGUGGAUUUUUGGCUUUUCGCCAUGGACUGCCAUCCGCAAUUUAUAAUUUUUUGGUUGUAUAUGAAUUGUUGUGCAUAUAUCCAUCUGGUAAUCAAUUUAUUGUUGAACUAUCUUAAUUUUAUGGCUUUAACUCCUAAUUUCAAAAGAUAAUAUAUAUAUAUAUAUAUACUUAUAACUUGAUUUAAAGAUUAAUGAAUUAGAUUUUAGUAAUUCAUAAUUUAAUAUAAAUGUGGAUGUGUUUUAUUAUAAUCUGAAGCGUUGACUUAAUCCUUGGUUUUAACUUUUCACAUUGUCUUUGCAUUUUAAAAUAGCCAAAAUCUUAAUUUUAUUGACUUAAUUCCUGUAAAAAUGUUUGCUAUUGACAAUGUGUUCAUACUAUACUGUCCUUUCUGUUUUGAGUGAACCGUGGUUUGCUUAUGUUUUGUGCUUGUGAAUUUAUGUCCCGAAUCCUUAUACAUUCAAAACUUAUAUUCCCUUUAAUCUUUUUUAUAAGAUCCAUUUAACUAAUUUAUAAGAAUUAAGAAUUAAGGAUAACAUUAAAUAUGUUUAAUAUUUAUAUUUUUUGGGAUAUACUAUCUUUUUAGUCCUUAAACUUUUUAAAUUUUUUUUGUUUUUAAUCCCUAAAUUUAUUUUAUCUGCUUGUAGUCCUUAACUUUUGUUUUUUUUACUUUUAAUCCCUUGAGAGGACUAAAAGUAAGGAUAGAAAAAAGUUAAAAAACUAAAAAGUUAAGGGACUAAAUAUAAAAGAAAAUUAGGGACUAAAAACAUAAAUUUUAAAAAGUGUAUGGACUAAAAAGUUAAUUUAUCUUUUUUUUUUCUUUCAAAAUUACUCUUAAUAUUAAUGAAACGAAUAAAAACAUUAAUGGAUACUGAUCUAAUUGUUUGUCAAUAUAACCUUUCACUGCCAUGAUUUUUAUUAAGAGUAUUUCUGUAAAAAAUAAUUCUUAUAAAAAGGAUCAAACACCACUUUUUACUUUUAACUUGGGUAGAGGAUCCGGAGGGAGCAUAAAUAAUAUGGCAUGAGCAUAAAGACAUGAAUAAAACUUUGAAACCGUAGAUGAUGGCUGCUGAAAAAGGUUUUAUGUAUUUAUUUAUUGAUAUAUAUUUUAGGCUUAAAGAUGGUUUUGGUCACGGAAAAUAUGAUGGUUUUUAGUUUUAAUUAUAUAAAAAAUGCUGUUUUAAUCUCUACAUUUAACAAAAAUAUGGUGUCACUCGUCAAGAAUUAAAAGUACCUAACUUAUAAUUUGAAGACCUAAAAAUAAAUAAAAUUUUAAUAAAAGAUUAAAACAAAAAAGCCAUAUUUUAUAUGAGCCUCUGGUUUUCAUCUCUGCAGGUGGCAUGUUGGACCAGCCAUAUUGGUGUGCCUUCGUGCUUGAAGUGGGCCCCUCGCAGGGCCAUGUUCGCUGCUGCUUCAAGUGUUCUCACAUUUUGGAUACCCAAUAAUGAUUCAAAGCUGGAAACCCAGUAUGGUGGCACAGAUGCUGAAGCUGGACCUUAACCCUAACCACUUCUCCAUUAUAACUGAAUAUGCUGUUCCUCUCCCAGCCCAUCUACAAUUUUGUUUUGUUGUUGUAUCAAGAAACUAACUAACGCGUUGUGAAUUUGGUAAGCUAUACAUAGUUUUGAUACAUUUCAUGAAAAUUUUGAUGAUGCUCCAAGGAUGUUGUCAAUUGUAAAUCCCAUCACCAAAUGCAAUUUAUUUUAAAGUUUUAGCUACAUUGAGAAUGUUCUUUAUUGGUUAGACAAUAUUUUUCCCCGCUAGUAAUACUAGGGUCUUACACAUGUUAAAGACGUUUUAACAAGCUCACGUCCACAUUUUGUCAGAUAGUGUCGCUUUUUUACUAACGGGAGAGUUAAACAAAUUUUAAACUAUUUUAACCCACACAGCGGAGGUAUCUUGCGUCAAAGGCCUUUUUGAGUUUUGACUAUGGGUUUCUUUCCAGAAGGAUUUCUAGGAAUAAUUAAAAAUGAAAUGAAUUUUUCAUAAGAAAAUUUUCAUAUUUUUACUUAUUGUAAAAGCUCUUGUAUAAUAAUUUCUCUAAAAGAUGAAAAAAAAAAUUAGAACUUAGUUUGUGCAUAAGUUCAAAUUAACUUACGAAAAAAAAUCAUUUUAUUUCUUUUUCUUAGUUCUUCUAGAAAAAUUUACCCUAAUCAGACCCUAUAUAUUAACUGUUGUCAUUGAAGAACAAACGAAGCAAAUCUUUCCUAUUAGAUUUUUUGCAGCUCAAAGCUUCCUUUUGCUGAAAAAUGCUAUUGGCUGAUGUUAAUGGCGCAUCUUAGUUUGGAACUUGGUUAGUGAGUGCUGUACUGUUGAUAAAAUUUCAUGCUAGGUAAAAUCUGCUGCUAGUAAUUUGAUUUUCAAUAUGAUAAAAGAAUCUUCAACAAAGCACAGUUUAAAUUUCACCCUUGGUUUUGUUGCUUAAAACUUUGAUCAUCGGACGAGAAAGAUAGUAAUUUUACACAUAACCAACGCAAAACACAUUUGACAUUGAAUUCAACAAUGGAAGUGAACAAAUACAAAACACAUUGAUUUCCAGCAUCCAUAUACACUACAGAGUGGUAGUACCCCUUUUUUUGAGACACGAACGAACGUCCCUACUACUUAAUAACCAAAGCUAGACAACAAAACAAAACACACAAACCUACAUAGGCAAGAGGUACAUACAUCAUUUAUUUAAUUUCCCCAUAUAAACCACAUCACAACAACACAUUAAUGCUCCCUCUAAUAUCAGAAUUACUCAUCAUGCGGUUGCGGUUGUUGCUGUCACUGUUGUUCUCUUUACAUCCCUUGCCUCCACCUUUGCAUCCCUUGCAGCAGCUUCCCUUGCAUCCCUUGCAGCUGCCUCCCUUGCAUCCCUUGCAGCUGCCUCCCUUGUAUCCUGUGCCUUGCUCUGAAUAUCCUGCCCAACCUCCUUGGUCUUCUGCCCCACUUCCUUCGUCUUCUGCCCCACGUACUCCGCCGCCUCGGCGAGGUGAUGCUUCGCGGCGGCGGCGAGGUUCUCCGAGGCUGGCUGGGUCUCCCGGAUGUAGUUCAGGAUCCAGGAGAAGGAAGACAGCGCCGUGAGCCCGAAGGCCCCCGACGUCAGGAACCCGGCCACGGCCAGGCCGAUGGCGACCGUGGCUGGAACCAGCACCGGGCUGAAGAGGACGAAGAGCGGCGUGGCAACUGCCAGUCCGGUGAGGGUUCCUGCCAGGGUCAAUCCCGCCAGGAGGAGCAGGAUGCCACCGACCGGGAGGCCGGCGAGGACGGCGAGGACCUGGGAAGUCGUUGGACCUCUCUCGGAAUGGUAAAUGGAGGGCGCUUUGACGCCGGCUUCAUAACGCGGCGGUUCGAAACGGGCUCCGGGGGGGACGACGCCAGCUUCGUAGCGGUGUGUUGUUGUGUGGACUUGGACACUGUGUGGUGGUACUUGUGUGGUCAUGGUUGAAGGUGAAGUUUAGGGUUUUGCAAUGAAGAUGAUGAUGCAACAGUGCUGCAAGUGAAGGAAUUGUUAGUGGGGUGUGUGUUAGAGAGGGAGAGUGUGACGGGGGUGUUGUUAUAUAGCAAAAGUGGAGUUGUUGGGUGAUGACACGUACAUGAUACAUGGUGAGUAGGGGCUUUGCAUGAGGAACAGGUUUCAGUUUGCCCUCGGUUUAGUACAUCAGAAAAAUUAAAGUGGGGUACAUAA